GGCGGGGUUCCCGGGGGAGGGGGCGGGCUGCCAGGCAUGGCCUAGGGUGCAUGGGUCUCCGCGCCCCCUGCCUGCUCAACUUUCCCCUCCAAUUCCCUGCUUCCCUUUGAUGUCCCGCAAGUGAGGACGCGCCUCGUGGGUCGCUGCGGGGAGGAAAGAGUAGAUGGGAGACCAAGGCGGAGAAGAGCACCAGCUCCGCUGCUCCUCUUGUCUGCAGCACGCUCAACCCCGAGCGAGUCUCAGCUUCCGCUCAGUCUCGGCUUCCAAGCUUGCCAAAGUGUCCGAAAACGCGCAGAGCGCUCGGAACCUGUCCCGCAGCUGUGCGACGCGCGUCUCGAGCUGGCCGCAGCCGCCCCGCCCUCGCGCGCCUCAGCCCCGCGGGCGGGGAUGCCGGCUCCACGGCCUCUCUACCGGGACCCCGCUCCAGGCCCGGGCGUGCUCCGGCUCGAGGUGGAAGGCACACCCGGGUAGUGGAUUUAGCAAACACACCUUUAUCUGUUCCUUAGAAAGGUGGAGCAGUCAUGCAAGAAUACUAAUGGAAGAAAGGAAGGAAGGGAGAGAAGGAGGAAGGAAUGGAGGAAAGAAGAGAAAGGAAGAUACAUCAGUGUAUGCUUCCCACGGGUCCCCUCCUCUAGUAUUCAUUUUCUCUUUCCAGCCUAGACCCUUCUGCUCUUAG
rnacentral:lncRNA from 1 species